UUGCUGGAACGCGCCCCAGGCGCACCCAGAAACCCUUUGUGAACUUAUACCUUACUGUUGCCUCGGCGCAUGCCGGCCCCCCUGGGGGCCCCUCCUUCUGGAGGAGCAGGCACGCCGGCGGCCAACCUAACUCUUGUUUUUACACUGAAACUCUGAGAAUAAAACAUAAAUGAAUCAAAACUUUCAACAACGGAUCUCUUGGUUCUGGCAUCGAUGAAGAACGCAGCGAAAUGCGAUAAGUAAUGUGAAUUGCAGAAUUCAGUGAAUCAUCGAAUCUUUGAACGCACAUUGCGCCCUCUGGUAUUCCGGAGGGCAUGCCUGUUCGAGCGUCAUUUCAACCCUCAAGCCUGGCUUGGUGAUGGGGCACUGCUUCUUACCCAAGAAGCAGGCCCUGAAAUUCAGUGGCGAGCUCGCCAGGACCCCGAGCGCAGUAGUURAACCCYCGCUCUGGAAGGCCCUGUCGGUGCCCCGGCCGUUAAACCCCCAACUCUGAGAAAUU
rnacentral:rRNA from 1 species